rnacentral:lncRNA from 1 species
GCUCUUUGAGGAGCUGUCCUUUGGCAGCCUGCUGGGAUUUCCUUCAAGAGGAGGAGAGGAAGGGAAACACUUGUCCAGGAUAAAGCCUAGCUCCCUAUAUAUCCGUUCCUCUAUGUGGAUGAAAUGUGAUGAUCCGCAGUCAACACCCUGCACAGCCAGCCUCUUCUCAGCAUCUGCCUUCAGAUAAACUAACCUGCAAUAGCUGACCUCACUGGUGUCAUUGAGCACAUCCAAAAUCAUUUUAAAUAUCUCU